rnacentral:lncRNA from 1 species
GGUACAACCUAAAUAGAGUUAAAAGUGGUACUUGAAUGGACAUCACGUCCGUUCAUACGACCACGGUUUAUCAGGAUUUACGAAUUUUGGGUUCUAUUUUUGGCAAGAUUUUUCUGGAAUGCGUCGUAACGUGAUAACCAGUUAACUAUUCAAAAGCAAGCCAGGAACAAUUCAACAUCAUACUAGUGAAAAUCUGGAUAAAAUAAAACCUUUAAAAAAACACCUACCUGGGGUACACAAUGUUCAUCUGAAUUUUUUUGUGAAUGAGGAAUCUACAAGACAAAGAUAUGUCAUCACAUUUAUGUGAGCAUUCUUUAGUAAUAACAUUAAGAGUCCCAGUGAUUGACACCGACCUUUCCGGAUGUACUGAAGAUGAAUCGAGAACGGGUCCCUAAGGCGCAGGAGACUCGACUUCGAGAAGGAUUCACUCUCUUCUGUCCCUUUCCUUUCGCGAUCCAUAGCGGUUUGUGGAACGAUACUGAAAUGAUGGCUCAAUUACCACUGUGCUAUCUGAUAAAAUGACUGAAUUUCUAGGUAUUUUAGUUCAGUAGCUUGUCAAACUUACUAAAGUAUUUAGUCGGUACGUGUAUAUGCUUGUUUCUUGCUGAUGAGCUAAAAAAAUCUGAUACUCCUUACAAAAGGUAUUCUGGUUAUUGUGAUGCUUGGAU